GAUCUCAAAUCAGGUAGGGAUUCCCGCCGAACUUAAGCAUAUCAAUAAGCGGAGGAAAAGAAACCAACAGGGAUUGCCUUAGUAACGGCGAGUGAAGCGGCAAAAGCUCAGAUUUGAAAUCUGGUAUCAMAYUGAUACUCGAGUUGUAAUCWGUAGAGGAGUCUUCGGAGUACGGCUUUGGUUAAAGUUCCUUGGAAAAGGGCAUCMUAGAGGGUGAGAAUCCCGUUUAUGACCAGUGUCUGUCUCCAUUAUGAACCUCCUUCAAUGAGUCGAGUUGUUUGGGAAUGCAGCUYUAAAUGGGUGGUAAAUUCCCUCUAAAGCUAAAUAUUGGCAAGAGACCGAUAGCGCACAAGUAGAGUGAUCGAAAGAUGAAAAGAMCUCUGAACAGAGAGUUAAAGAGUACGUGAAAUUGUUGAAAGGGAAGCACUUGUGACCAGACAAAUUCACGGUUAAUCAGCCAUCAMUUCUUGGKGGCGCACCUAAUUGUAGAUGGGUCAGCCUCCGUUAUAGUAGUGGAACAAAGAUCAAAGGAAAGUAGCUCCUCUUUGAGGAGUGUUAU
rnacentral:rRNA from 1 species